GGCGCAUGCAGACGGAAUCUCGAGACUCAUUCAUAGCUCCGUUACCUUGUAAGCCACUCUGGCCGGACACUUCUUCCCCAGACCCAGGGGCGGAGACAUGUGUCUCAGCAUCUGAUACAUGUCCAUUACCAAGCUGCGGGGUCAUACUCGGCCCAGACACGCACGUACUCAUCCAGGUGGUGGGGGCCCAGGAUGGAGGAGUCUCGGGAGACUCACCAGAAACGAGCAGAGGAAGAUGAAGGAAACAAAGUAAAAAUAAGCAAAUUCAUUGCCACACUCUCGAGUCAGGAUGCCAGAGUUCUUAUCACACGGUUUCCCGCUGAGGCAGGAAAGCAUGAUGUUGUGCCAAGCUUCCCCGGUGGCACUCCUGAGGAC
rnacentral:lncRNA from 1 species